rnacentral:misc_RNA from 1 species
AUGCUUCUGACGACACAAUCUGUUUUCUGUGAAAUCUUGAUGCAGACGAAAAUCCUACACAUGUUUUUCUAUAAUGUAGUUGGACAUUUUGAUUAAAAACUAACCAAUUUAUUUUCAAUUUUAAUUAGAUUUUGGUUUUAUUUCAUAUUUAACUAUGUCGUCACAUGUUAUUAUCUGUAUUCCAAUCAAAUUCUUUUUAGCAAUAAACUGUGUCUUACAUUUGU